AAAAUGAAAGGAAAAAAAAUGCUACUAGAAUCAUGUAGGGAUGGCAACUUAACCUUGAUUCAGACAAACCCGGAUAAUUCGGUACGAGUUUAACCCAUAUUGGAUUAAAAUAAAUCCGAUAUCUAGAUGUAAUUUUGCUGACCUGGAUACAUCUGGGUUCGGUUCUAGGUUUGGGUGAACCCAUAGAUCCGAAACCCGGACUCGGAUAUCUUAUUUUAAAAUUAGUUUUUUUAAUUAUUUUUAAUAUAAAUACAAAGAUUAAAAAAGAAAUUCUAAGUGCCCUAGUUUCACAGAUCACAGCCGUAGCCCCUAAACAUUUCAUUUCUUUUCAACUCCUCCUCAUCAAAUUAAAUCACCAUGCUUUGCCAAUCCCUACCUUCACAACUCUAUUCAUCAUCAUCAUCAUCAGUCGCCAUUUGUCCGGCUGUGAUACAGUUGAAAACGCGACCUUCAUCAUCAUCGGCAGCAUCGUUUGAAAACAAACCGAAACGGCGAGAUAUCCGGUUGAAAACAACACCGACAACGAGAUAUCCAGUUGAAAAUAGCAGCAUCGGCCGAAAACAUCCUUUUCGUCAUCAUCAGGGCAUGCGUUUUGCUUUGCCUUUUUCAUCUUUUUCUGCCUUUUUUUCCUCUGACAUGGCAGUAAAAUGAGAUCUUCAAAUGCAUGACAGCUCCCAUAAUUUCUCCCUCGUUUUGAUUUAUUUCCUCUGCUUUUAAUAUUUUUCUUGCAAAUGAAUAUUAUUCUUAUUGAUGAUUAUUGUAUUUGUGGAUGCUUUAUUGCUUAGAAACAUCGAAAUUUAAUUUAUAUCUUUUUUUUCAUUUUAUUAGAAUCCAGAUUUAUUUGUAUUUUAAUUUUUUUUACUUAAUUCACUAAUCCGGGUUCAAAAUUCGAAAUCCAGAAACCCAGUUUUUUUUCGAGUUAAACCUGACCAGACUCGGAUGGAAAAAGUUUGGGUUUAAAUCCGGAUCCGGCAAAAGAAAAUCAUAUCCAAAUCCGAAACCGGGAUGGCUGAACCUAGACUCGGAUCUUGUCAUCCCUAGAGUCAUGUACAUGAAAGAAAAGAAAAAAAAUGGAGAAGUAAGGAUAAGAAAAAAAACAAAUAAAGGGAAAAGAUGAAGGAGUAAUGAUGAGAAAAAAAUGAAAGAGAAAAACAAAGAAAAAGAUAAAGAUGGUAUGGCUUUUU
rnacentral:lncRNA from 1 species